GAUGAACGCUGGCGGCGUGCCUAAUACAUGCAAGUCGAGCGAAUGGAUUAAGAGCUUGCUCUUAUGAAGUUAGCGGCGGACGGGUGAGUAACACGUGGGUAACCUGCCCAUAAGACUGGGAUAACUCCGGGAAACCGGGGCUAAUACCGGAUAAUAUUUUGAACUGCAUGGUUCAAAAUUGAAAGGCGGCUUCGGCUGUCUCUUAUGGAUGGACCUGCGUCGCAUUAGCUAGUUGGUGAGGGAACGGCUCACCAAGGCAACGAUGCGUAGCCGACCUGAGAGGGUGAUCGGCCACACUGGGACUGAGACACGGCCCAGACUCCUACGGGAGGCAGAAGUAGGGAAUCUUCCGCAAUGGACGAAAGUCUGACGGAGCAACGCCGCGUGAGUGAUGAAGGCUUUCGGGUCGUAAAACUCUGUUGUUAGGGAAGAACAAGUGCUAGUUGAAUAAGCUGGCACCUUGACGGUACCUAACCAGAAAGCCACGGCUAACUACGUGCCAGCCGCCGCCGUAA
rnacentral:rRNA from 1 species